AAGACAGCACACAUGUACAACAUCAGACAAUGCUCCGCUUUGCUGCCUCUAGGCUGUCAUCAGAAGCAAAUGAUUUAUAGAGGCCCGUGUUCAUGUUCACUUGUUGGAGAGCUGAUAAAAUAAGGAAGUGCAGAUACCUGUUCCCCCGAGCGGUGCUCUGUAAGACAUCAGCCUUGAUCUCAUAACUCCAGGAGCCCAGCCCUGUCACACUGAAGAAUGACUCUGGACACGACCAGCCACAGGUGCAGGCUGAGCUCAGAGACCUCGGGGCAGUGGACCACCAAACAUAGCAGUCCCUGUGGGGAAAAUAAUGGACCUUCCUCGUGGUCUGACUGGAAGAAUGGAUUUAAGAUCAACGCUUGGAGGUUUUCACUCCCUGAGCUGAUAUGGAUCAUUUGAACGGGAUUUGUGUUGUAAAUGUAGUCUUGUGUGCUAAGUUGAGGUUCAAAGGAUUAAGUAAUUGGUUUUAAUUUCAUAAAUGGCAGUAUUAGAGCAAAGGAGAAUUUACUUUUUUACAAUUACUUUUUUUCCCACUGUACUCAUUAAAAGGGAUGUCUGGGUUUUAAAGUUAAAAAGAAUAGUAGCCCAUAGUAUAGGAACCACCCUCAUAUCUGUCCUUAAAUGUAAGGCUACAGCCAACAGCUAGUUAGCUUAGCUAAGCACAAAGACUGGAGCUAGUCUGGCUUUGUGACAAGUUUUAUGGAGGGUUAUGCACAAUGAUAUUUCUUGGCAGCAGACAACAAUUCUUCAGGAAGUUACUGCGACCAGCCAAGAAAUAGUCCCUUACAUAUUUACACUUCGUAUUUUUACGAAUUAAACAAACAAGGUAUUACAUGUUAAGUAGUGAGCUUUCGAAGUGGUGGUAGGCAGAUUUUGUAACCUUCGGACAGACCUAGGUUAGCUGUUUCCCCGUGUUUCCAGUCUUAAUGCUAAACUACUGCUGGCCAUAUCCGUAUAUUUACCAGACAAAAAUAAAAGUGGUAUUAAUCUACUCAUGGAACUCUUGGCAGGAAAACGAAAAGGCGUAUUUCCAAAAAUGUCAAACUAUUGCCUCAAACAUAGCCAAUUUCACUUCAUAACUUACACAGGAAUAAAAUUAUGUUCAAGAUGGAACUUUUCUUUCUGUUUAUCCAGUUAAACAAUUUCUUGUCUGAGAAAGUACUUUUUGUUUUUAUUACCUAUGUACAUUUUUCAUGUGUGUGCUGCAUAUGACAACAUAUGUUUGAAAUUUCAGUUCAUUCGACUGAUUUUCAAAAUGUUUCUUGUCUUCAAAGCCUUCCAAGCUUUCAGUAGCCUGAGCUGUUGGCCCUUACAUCUCUGGAAGUCAUAAGCAACCUAAAUUGUAGUUUAUCCAUAUGUCAUAGAGUUUUCAAAACAAAUUGUAAUUCUAGAUAGCAAAGGUAUAAAGUCUGGCUACAUUCGUCAGGCUGCUUUGCGGUGUUGCGGGAACAGGAUGCUUCGGAGGGGCCUUGUUUGGAGUUUGGGUCUUUUGUGAGGAGCUGGUGUUUAGAGCUGUGAGCACGCUUCAGCCCAGGUCACCUCUGCAACAGCUUUUGAUUCUCCGUUUUUGUUCUCCAAUCAGAAACGUGUUUCAGUUUGAGUUUCAUUAAAAGCAUGUCUUGAAAUUGGAUCCAUCUCUUUGUACACCCGCCGAACAGGAACACUGUGCAACCUAACUGGAAGCAGAUCAUCCUACCCUUCAUCAAUGGACUGGGCUACACGUGUAUGUGUGUUUGAGUGUGUGUGUGGUGUGUGGGUGCACAGCUAUGUUGUGUGCAGUGUAUGUUACAUUGUGUAACAUAACUGUGCUUGUGAAACACUAUAGCCUAAAGUGUCACUUUCUCUAUAAAUGGCUUGCAGGGUCUGACAGCAACAUUUAUUCACUGUGAAUGACAUCAUUUACCCUUCAGACAUAUUAAUGAUUAUUUCAUUCUCUCCUGCUGCCAAGGAAACACCUCGCCUGUAACACAGCAGCACACUUAGCAUAGAUUUUCCACAGGAAACAGAGGCUUGAAGUGGCUUUGUUGCCGCCCACAAAGCUAACAAGUGUCAAGUGUCCAACAAACAUCUUUCGAAUUUCAUGCUUUACUUACAGUAGAUGCUAGCGUGCUAUAUCACACAUGCCACAAAGUAUCUCAUCCUUGUCAACUUAAAAAUAGGUUUCACUUUUCUGACCUUACACAAAGAACCCCUCAGAACAAACAAGGUGUUAAAGACUUGGCACAGAAUCUGGGACUCGCAGCAAAUUGCUACCAUUUUGAUCUCCCUUUAUUCUCCACCUAUUGAGAAAACUGAUCCUGUAACGUCGGGGGAGGAAUGUGUCCAGAAUGCAUUCAAUAGCUCAAAGCUGUUGUGUUGAAAUCUCAGUCUCCUUUUUCACAUCAUUACAGGAGCUUCACAAUCAGGCCUCCUGGGAAAGGGAGAGUGAGCAGAGAAAUGUCUAAGCAGCACAUGUAGGGAAGAGCUUCCAGAUGUGACAUGUCAGCAUCAACGACACUCAAUGACGAGGGAGUAAUGGAGCAAGAAGCAGCAGCCACAGUUGGAUGAAGAGCACCUCCAACUCCUCAGCAAGGUAGCCAACUUUACUGUGCCCUGCUGUUGUGAACAGCAUGAAAUCAGAUCACUGUUGCAAUUAUUACUUACCGAUUACAACAUCAUUCUUUUCUUUGGCUGCACUGUAAACAGAUACACCAGUUGCUCUUCUGUUGUAUUUCUGACAAACAGGACUGAAACCUGAAAGGUCGGUGACAGGAGGUCUCCGGGAUGAAAGCUGGACAUGCUACACACCUUCCACCACCCUGACAUUCAGAUCUGGACACAAGGUGCAGAAUCGUCCAUGAUGAACCUAUUUUCUAGGAUUCUGGCCUGUGACAGCAUGUGUCUGGUCAAUGUGUGCAUCUUUGUGUGUUCAUUACUACACAGAUACACUUAAGUGCAGUAUGUGUUUGUGCAUACCAUCACAGGGUCUGUGGGCCAUCUGGAAUGUACUGUACAACCAGAAAGGGGAAACCCAGCUGUGGAAGUUGAAGCUGCUGCUGAAUUCCUAAAGAGAAGAACAUGUCCAGCCAAAUUCUGGCGGUGAUACACCUUCACUGAGGCUCAAAAACAUGUGGAGGGAGGCUGAGUGCUUAAAUACCUUGUCCAACUCAGUCACCAGAUCAGCUUCAUUGGACCAGGCCAUUCUGGCUCAAUGGGCAACAGAGAGUCGAUCAGGCCCACAGUUUCCUGCUGGGCACAAAGUCACUCUCACAAACAUGGAGCCAUAUGUCGGCCAGAUGCUGCUGGCCUCACUCCCCUUCAAAGAAACAAUUAGGCACAAUUAUCGCAACAUAUAAAUGAAUUUUAUCCAUGAUUAAAAUGUUUGGGGUAAGGGGCGAGCAGGACGCAUGGCCAGGUGGUUGUAAUCUCGAUGGCAGUCGCAGCGGGGCUUCGCUGAAAUAGAGCAAAAGAAAGAAAAACCUGCUGAGCUGUUUAUUCAGGCACUUGUACGUCUGGUCAAGUGGUCCCCACCCCCCUUUUCCCUUUCCUCUACAUGUUCACCCCACCAGUGAAGGCAUCUGUCCCUUAAUACCGCUUUAAUGAAGGUCAUUCAUUUUAAUGGAGCCUCAUUUCAAACUCCAGUAAUUAAAGCUUGCGGUGCACUUGUCUGGGAGGUUGUUGAGACAGUGUGAGUGCCAGUUCUCCAAAUAAACAGUCCCCUGCAAGCCAAUGGGCAUCUGAACACCAUAAACCAAACGGGCCAAAUCACGGUCAUGGAAAGAAUAGAAGGCGGCGCAGCUCCGAGGAGAAAUCUAAACCAUGCUAGAGAGAUGAAAACCACAUUUAGUUAAGUGGAAAGAAGGAUGACAGGUGGCUCGACCGUGUUUGGAGGAUAACACAACAAUCACAUGUAAUCGGGUUUGAAAGGCUGAGAACAGAGGAGGAACUGAGUGAGUGAUACAAUGAGAUUCUGAUGUCAAGUGUUUGUCAGACCUCAACUGAAAACUGCUUUGGCUAGGUGAAGGAUCAAACUGCGUCACACUCGAUGCAACUGUGGAAAAGAUGAAGAAAAAGUUCAGAUGAGAGGCAUCACCAUGCAAAGAAAAAAUACAGAAUCUAUCAAGAAAGACUGAUCUAUACUGGGGUGAGAGAUGAAUACACUUACAAUCAUUCUUCUGUCUUCUCUUCACAGAUCAUCAUAGUCUCGGUCGAUCUUAAAGAGAUGCGCCCCUGCAGAGCCAUGCAGCACUCCAGACAGACGUGAGGAUGAUGUGUUUUGAUUCCCAGAUGAAGAGUGUGACGAGGAAAGCUGCUAUAGAUGCUAUUUGUCAGGCUUUCCAGUCCCAGCAGGAUAGCGAGGUGUGUUGUCUACCCAGCAUGCUUUGCCGCUUCCUGGCGUCAGACAGUAUAAUGUUGAUGUACGAUCUGUGAAGAGGAGCCUUGUUUUAUCUCCAGCGUGGUGACAUGGGACGGUUGUUUUAUCUCCCAUGUGGAGGCAUGGGAUGCUCGCCCUGCUCCCUCGGCCUAUCUGGCUGCUGAGGGCCUGAUGAAAGCACAGGGCCACCUUGUCCAGACGGCGCACAUCCAUCAGAGGAGCAACAUGUCAAACGGCGAGGCCAGAGGAGAGUCAUCCACGGGGCGAAGGAAGGGUUUGGGCUUCACAAACACCUCAGCAGUGGCCUGUGACGUUUAUGUAUUUAUGUAUUAGCAGGAAAAUCUAUGAGGUUCUACAAAAAAAGCAGUGAUUAUUAAAUAACAUAGUAGGCAGAACACAGAUAGUUUGGUUCCUCUUUUGUGUAAAUCUCUGACAAAACCUCUUUUUGGUCCCUGAUUCCUCAAACACCUGAAGACACGCAACAGAGAGAUCAUUCAGACAAUAAAAACAUCAUUGCUCAAGCAACAACACCAUUAAAAUAUAUAAAUGCUCACAGCAAGGCCAGAUAAUUCCAGGCACAUGGUGGCGAGACAAUACUUAUAGGCCUGAUAAAUGAAAACAAACGGACACAGAGACGUGAAAACCAUCAGCGCUUUUUCUUGUGUUUCCCCACUCAGACUCACACACCAGCACGCUUUGAUGUGGCUUUUGAGGGCUAAUGAUCGGUCUCACGAGCCAAACGUUUCUAUUUUUUGCAAAGUGACCUCCUAUUUAGCAAAUAAAAACAAAAUGCGACAUCUAUUUGGAGGCAAUUGCCCAAGCAGUCAGAUCAGAACUUGUUUCAAUGGGGCCUUUAUACAUUUCUGCAGUUUAUCCUCCAGGCUUAGUGGCAUUUGAAUCUGCAAACAUAAUUUCUCUCUCUCCCUCUUUCUGUUUUUCCUGAUUGCUUCCACACACUCCAAGCAGCACCAGCUGGAGACUGUAAAAGUAAACUUCAUGUUCAAAAAUGGGUAGAUUAGCCCUUUUAAAUUGGUUUCUUUUCAUGUUUUUUUGCGUCGC